GCGGUGGAGCAUGUGGUUUAAUUCGACGCUACGCGAAGAACCUUACCUGGGCUUGAACUGCUGGUGGUAGAAGCCCGAAAGGGUGACGACCCGGAGCAAUCCGGGAGCCAGUAGAGGUGCUGCAUGGCUGUCGUCAGCUCGUGUCGUGAGAUGUUGGGUUAAGUCCCGCAACGAGCGCAACCCUUACCCUUAGUUGCCAGCGGGUAAUGCCGGGCACUCUAAGGGGACCGCCCGGAUAACGGGGAGGAAGGCGGGAUGACGUCAAGUCAGCAUGGCCCUUAUGUCCAGGGCUACACACGUGCUACAAUGGGCGAUACAGAGGGAAGCAAGGCCGCAAGGUAGAGCUAAUCCCUAAAGUCGUCCUCAGUUCGGAUUGCAGGCUGCAACUCGCCUGCAUGAAGUCGGAAUCGCUAGUAAUCGCGGAUCAGCUACGCCGCGGUGAAUACGUUCUCGGGCCUU
rnacentral:rRNA from 1 species